UUCCGGUUGAUCCUGCCGGAGGCCAUCGCUAUCGGGGUCCGACUUAGCCAUGCUAGUCGCACGGGUUCAGACCCGCGGCCAACAGCUCCGUAACACGUGGCCAAACUACCCUGUGGACCAGAAUACCCUCGGGAAACUGAGACUAAUGCUGGAUACGAACCCCACGCUGGAAUGCGGGGGCUCGCAAAGCUCCGGCGCCACAGGAUGUGGCUGCGGCCGAUUAGGUAGACGGUGGGGUAACGGCCCACCGUGCCGAUAAUCGGUACGGGUCGUGAGAGCGAGCGCCCGGAGACGGACUCUGAGACAAGAGUCCGGGCCCUACGGGGCGCAGCAGGCGCGAAACCUUUACACUGCACGCAAGUGCGAUAAGGGGAUUCCGAGUGCGAGGGCAUACAGUCCUCGCUUUUCUGAACGGUAAGGACGUUCAGGAACAAGGGCUGGGCAAGACCGGUGCCAGCCGCCGCGGUAAUACCGGCAGCCCAAGUGAUGGCCGCUCUUAUUGGGCCUAAAGCGUUCGUAGCCGGCCAGGCCGGUCCAUCGGGAAAUCCGUCAGCUCAACUGACGGGCGUCCGGUGGAUACCACCUGGCUUGGGACCGGAUGGCUCGAGGGGUACGUCCGGGGUAGGAGUGAAAUCCUGUAAUCCUGGACGGACCGCCGAUGGCGAAAGCACCUCGGGAGGACGGAUCCGACGGUGAGGGACGAAAGCUAGGGUCUCGAACCGGAUUAGAUACCCGGGUAGUCCUAGCCGUAAACGAUGCCAGUUAGGUGUGCCACAGGCUACGCGCCUGUGGUGUGCCGUAGGGAAGCCGAGAAACUGGCCGCCUGGGAAGUACGUCCGCAAGGAUGAAACUUAAAGGAAUUGGCGGGGGAGCACUACAACCGGAGGAGCCUGCGGUUUAAUUGGACUCAACGCCGGU
rnacentral:rRNA from 1 species